CGGGGAGGAAGGAAUAGGCUGUCCUUGUAAAUCAGAAUUUGUUCUUAACUGACUUGCCUAGUGAAAUAAAGGUUACACUAAGAGCAUAACAUUUCAGUACCCACAUUUUCUAAUUCUAGUCUAACCUAUAUCCAAAUGGAGAUUCAGUGAAAAUGAAAAUCUCAUUGAUUUAUCAAGACCAGUCGCCAUGCUUGUCUCAGAGCAGCGCGAAAUGAUGCUGAAAUCUCAUUGCUUCAAAUCCUAUUGCUUCAAUAUACUUUUUAAAUAAAUAAGACCUACACCACUUUUAACAUCACAUUACUCAACACUAGUGAGACUAAUUUUGCCUAUGGUAGGCCUACAGUAUAUCUAAAAAAAAUCAAUGAUGUGACUCUCUGACAAUAAUUACAUUUAGAGGAUUGGAGGAUUCUAAAUUAAUGUCUUAAGGAGCAUUUUCCGUUAAGACCCGUGACAAUAUCCAAGGGGCUUUUAUAUCAUUCUAAAUUAAUUAAUAAUAAUAAUAAUCGCUUUGUUUAAAAAGUAACGAUAUUUUGGAGAUUUCGUUUUCAUUUAACCUAGAGUGAGUGAGAAAAAGGCAAUUCUUGAACAUGGGGUGAGACAUUCUCACUCAUUGAAAAUAAGAAUAUGUUCUUAACUGACUUGCCUGGUUAAAUAAAGGUAAAAUAAAAAAUAAAAUAAAAAUUGUAAAUAAAGCCAGUUUGUUAUUUAGCAUAUUUAUUUCUGGAGAAACCUAACUUGGUUAUUUAGCAGACAUCACUUGCUUAUAUUCAGUCAACACAUAUCUUAAGAAUAUCAUGGAAAAUAAUUGAACAUGAUAUUCUUAAGAUGUUUGUUGACUGGCAUGGAUCAAAGCUGGCAAGACAUUGACUUGACAUGACAUGACGAAUCAACCGUGGCCCUUGAGCAAUUUGCUCAAAAUUGUUACAGAAGAAAAGGAAGAAUAUCAAGUAAGCCGAGUCCCAAGCAUCCGCUCAAACUCCAUGUGUGGGGGACAAUUUCUCUCGAGACAAGGCCCACAUUUGAUUUUUGAUGGACUCAUGGUUCGAGACUUAUUUGAGGAAGAAAUCAUCAAGAGAUAUGCUGGACCCUAUGUCAGAAAGGUGUUUCUGGGACCACAUCAUUUCUUUCAAGACAAUGGCCCAAAACACACUGCCGCCCAGGUUUGCAUUGCAAAUGGGGGCAUAAACUGAGUCAAGACGCCAGCAGAGUAUCCUGAUUUAAACCUGAUCUAACUUGUUUGGCAUCAACUGAAAACAUUCAUCCGUAACUCUGCCAAGCCGACAAGCAAAGAUGAACUGGUCAAGGCCAUCAAAGAUGUUUUGGCAAGAGAAAUUGACGAUACAACAAUGCAAAAAUACAUUGAUCAUCUCAGCAAGGUUUUACCUGUGGUCGUGGAGCUGGGUGGAAGUGCGACUAAAAUGUAGUUACAAUAAGCGUCCGCAUUUGAAUGUAUUUUUUUCUUGUUAUUUUAUUAACGAAAGCAUAAAGAUGGUUGAUGAAGAAAUACUGUACUGUUGUUUUGAGUUAGAAAAUGUAACACCCUAGAGUACUUAAGCAUCGAAUACAUUGCAAAUUGAGGGAUUUUCACAACAGUAGCCGCGUUAUAAAAAAUAUAUCAUCCUGCUAAUAGGAAACAUUUGCAUGAUGUGCUACACCUGCUACAGUACUACAGUACACUUGUGAAAAACAAGUGUUUCAAAACCUGCUGUCCAUCACUACUGUAAAUAAAAACAUCAUCUUGAUCACAUCUUGUUUACAUUCUUUAUUGUAACCACAAUGUCACAAAU